rnacentral:misc_RNA from 1 species
CCAGGCACAACAAUUACAAAAUACAAAAGAUGUAUAUCGAAUGGUUAACUUAAUAAAAGCAACAACAAUAGCUGCAGUUCAAUUUUACAUCACAGGAAAAGCGAAUCUGCCAUGAUGCAGCAAGAUUUGCUGCUUUCUUCUAAAUCACGGUUGGAUAAGAGACCAGAAAACUUAGCUGCCUUGCUUCAGAAUUAUAAUGUUCAGGACAAGCACAAGAAAAAAUAAGGCCGUUUUCAUGGAAUCACUUGCAUCCUCAGGUCCCACAUCCCUUGCAAUUACAAUGAUAAAUUGAUCUUCUUAGACCACUUAAAGAUAUCUGAAUAAACUUGAUCGCCUCCCAACUCUUCUCCUGUAGCCCCAGCUGCCACCCUCAUUAAGUCCUCAAUUAAAGCAAAAUUUCCCAUUAUAUCAACAUGAGCACCACUUUGGGUGCCCCGGCCUUCCAACAAGUUUGCUGGAGGAGAAUGAUAAUAUUCCCUAAUGUAUGUCCGACUUCCUGAAGGAUUGAAUCUAGUUUUUCCCCGCCAUGCUUUAGCACACAUGAAGCCUGCACUUAAAACAGGAACAGUCUCAUCCCCAUCAACAGUGUAGACUCCAUCUUUCAAACAGCUGUCUUCAUCUUCCCCAUCAGCUGAUGUGUCAAUCUGAAAUGGAAUGUAGCAUUCAGCCGCAGGAGAUAACUUAUAAACAUAAGCUCUUUCAGUUGGUAUGCCAACUCC